UGGGGAAUAUUGCACAAUGGGCGCAAGCCUGAUGCAGCAACGCCGCGUGAACGAUGAAGGUCUUCGGAUCGUAAAGUUCUGUUGCAGGGGAAGAUAAUGACGGUACCCUGUGAGGAAGCCCCGGCUAACUACGUGCCAGCAGCCGCGGUAAUACGUAGGGGGCUAGCGUUAUCCGGAUUUACUGGGCGUAAAGGGUGCGUAGGUGGUCCUUCAAGUCGGUGGUUAAAGGCUACGGCUCAACCGUAGUAAGCCGCCGAAACUGGAGGACUUGAGUGCAGGAGAGGAAAGUGGAAUUCCCAGUGUAGCGGUGAAAUGCGUAGAUAUUGGGAGGAAAACCAGUAGCGAAGGCGGCUUUCUGGACUGCAACUGACACUGAGGAACGAAAGCGUGGGUAGCAAACAGG
rnacentral:rRNA from 1 species